rnacentral:rRNA from 1 species
CCUACGGGAGGCAGCAGUGGGGGAUAUUGCACAAUGGGGGGAACCCUGAUGCAGCGACGCCGCGUGGGUGAAGGAGCGUUUCGGCGCGUAAAGCCCUAUUGGCAGGGAAGAAGAUGACGGUACCUGACCAAGAAGCUCCGGCUCACUACGUGCCAGAAGCCGCGGUAAUACGUAGGGGGCCAGCGUUAUCCGGAUUUACUGGGGGUAAAGGGGGCUCAGGCGGCAAUGCAAGCCAGGAGUGAAAGCCCGGGGACCAACCCCGGAACUGCUGUUGAAACUGCAUGACUGGAGUACGGGAGGGGCAGGCGGAAUGCGUGGUGUAGCGGGGAAAUGCGUAGAUAUUAGGAGGAACCCCGGUGGCGAAGGCAGCCUGCUGAACUAUGACUGACGUUGAGGCCCGAAGGCGUGGGGAGCAAACAGGAUUAGAUACCCCUGUAGUC